rnacentral:rRNA from 1 species
GAUGAACGCUGGCGGCGUGCCUAACACAUGCAAGUCGAGCGAGAUUAAGUGUAGUGAGGGCUUCGGCCUGAGUGAAGCUUAUGAAAGCGGCGGACGGGUGAGUAACGCGUGGGCAACCUGCCCCAUACAGAGGGAUAGCCACUGGAAACGGUGAUUAAUACCUCAUAAGUCAGUAGGAUCGCAUGAUUUAGCUGACAAAGAUUUAUCGGUAUGGGAUGGGCCCGCGUCUGAUUAGCUAGUUGGUGAGGUAACGGCUCACCAAGGCGACGAUCAGUAGCCGACCUGAGAGGGUGAUCGGCCACACUGGAACUGAGACACGGUCCAGACUCCUACGGGAGGCAGCAGUGGGGAAUAUUGCACAAUGGGCGCAAGCCUGAUGCAGCAACGCCGCGUGAGUGAUGAAGGCCUUCGGGUUGUAAAACUCUGUCCUAUGGGAAGAAACAAAUGACGGUACCAUGGGAGGAAGCCCCGGCUAACUACGUGCCAGCAGCCGCCGCCGUAA